AUUGAACGCUGGCGGCAGGCCUAACACAUGCAAGUCGAGCGGAUGAAGGGAGCUUGCUCCUGGAUUCAGCGGCGGACGGGUGAGUAAUGCCUAGGAAUCUGCCUGGUAGUGGGGGAUAACGUCCGGAAACGGGCGCUAAUACCGCAUACGUCCUGAGGGAGAAAGUGGGGGAUCUUCGGACCUCACGCUAUCAGAUGAGCCUAGGUCGGAUUAGCUAGUUGGUGGGGUAAAGGCCUACCAAGGCGACGAUCCGUAACUGGUCUGAGAGGAUGAUCAGUCACACUGGAACUGAGACACGGUCCAGAGUCCUACGGGAGGCAGCAGUGGGGAAUAUUGGACGAUGGGCGAAAGCCUGAUCCAGCCAUGCCGCGUGUGUGAAGAAGGUCUUCGGAGUGUAAAACACUUUAAGUUGGGAGGAAGGGCAGUAAGUGAAUACCUUGCUGUUUUGACGUUACCAACAGAAUAAGCACCGGCUAACUUCGUG
rnacentral:rRNA from 1 species